ensembl:lncRNA
CGAGGGCUGGCCCGAUUGUGGCGUUCCGGCGGCGCGGUUCGUGACAGGUCACGGUGCGAGGAGCGAGGUGAGCGCUGCUGUCUCCUUCAGUGCAGCGCAGCGUGUUAAAUUCUCGCCGUCCGGACGCCGCACGGGGUGUCCGUCCGCCCCUUUGAUUGCAUUAGGCCUGGACUGCAGCUUCGGAGCCUGCUGGAGAUGUCCGGGGAGGAGGGCCGGCAGCCCGUGCCAGUGUUUGGCUGCCCUUACAGCAAUAAACCCGGUGUUGUUGCGUGCCUAACGCUGCCCAGGGUGCUGCUGGCCUUUGCUGCAAGGUGAUAGAUGAGAGCACCUUGGACACCCAAAAUGGCACAGCUGUGUGCCUCUUUCUGUGCAGAUACUCUGUGCAGAUAGCAGAGCUGGAAUACUGCAGGAGUACCACCAGUCUCAGCGUGUCUACAUGCUUGAAUUGCUGUGUAAGGAGUUCAGAAGCAGAAAAAAAAAGCUCCUUAGGUGGCAGUCUUGGAAUGGUAUGAGAGUAAUAAGGAUUGGAGUUACUGGCAAUAAUGGAGAGAAAUCGUGCUGGAAGCCCAAUUAAAGAGUUUUGAUUUAAUCCUGCAAAUCAGCUCUGCACUCUGGAUCAUGCCAGGGGGGGAAGAAUGCGGCGGUGUGUGUGAACAGAGCUCUGAGUGCACAGCCAGGCUGCAGUCCUGCUUUCCCUUUCUUGGUUGUGGGCACCGCACGGCAGCAAAAAGGUGUGAUGUACAGCAUUUGAAGAACCUGUAGCGUUGGCCCUAGCGAGCGGGUAGUGUUUCUGGAUGUUAUCAUGUGCAAAAUCAACUCUCACGGCAGAGCUGCAUGUUAGUUCCCUAGUUAUUUUGAGAAGCCCAUAGGAAAGCCCACUGGGAACUAUUAGCAUCCUGACUGCACGCCUACAAAUGCAAACACUCAGCUGGAUUCGGCAUGCUUAAAAAACGUAAGCUGCUCAUUACGAGGGUACAUGCAUUGCUUUCUUUUUUCCUUGAAGGAGACAUUUUAUUUUCUCUGUGGCAGAAAGCAGAACGGUGUGGUUUGGUGCCACCGAUGAAAGACUACUCAACUAAGUCCUAUUCAACUAAGAAGUAGUAGGAGAGGAAUUCUUUACAGUGAUGGUGGCAGUGUUGAGUGUGCCUAAUAAUAAAGAAGGCAUAAAAUGCGUUCUUAACCCUGCAGUUUAAAAGUUGUUCCUGGUUUUAGGCAAACCUGUACAACCAAAGCCACAGGGUCCAUGCAGAAAGCAGCAACAGCGAUUAGGGAACUGGGGGG